UACGGGGGGGUAAGCGUUGUUCGGAAUUACUGGGCGUAAAGGGCUCGUAGGCGGCCAACUAAGUCACACGUGAAAUCCCCAGGCUUAACCUGGGAACUGCGUGUGAUACUGGAUGGCUUGAAUUCGGGAGAGGGAUGCAGAAUUCCAGGUGUAGCGGUGAAAUGCGUAGAUAUCUGGAGGAAUACCGGUGGCGAAGGCGGCAUCCUGGACCCGACAUUGACGCUGAGGAGCGAAAAGCUAGGGGGAGCAAACGGG
rnacentral:rRNA from 1 species